UCCGGGCGGAGGACAUUGUCAGGUGGG
rnacentral:snRNA from 1 species